CCUACGGGUGGCAGCAGUGAGGAAUAUUGGUCAAUGGGCGAGAGCCUGAACCAGCCAAGUCGCGUGAGGGAGUACUGCCCUAUGGGUUGUAAACCUCUUUUGUCGGGGAGCAAAAGCCGGACGUGUCCGGCUGUGAGAGUACCCGAAGAAAAAGCAUCGGCUAACUCCGUGCCAGCAGCCGCGGUAAUACGGAGGAUGCGAGCGUUAUCCCGAUUUAUUGGGUUUAAAGGGUGCGCAGGCGGAUUUUUAAGUCAGCGGUAAAAUCGUGGGGCUCAACCCCAUCCAGCCGUUGAAACUGGGGAUCUAGAGUGUGCGAGAGGUAUGCGGAAUGCGUGGUGUAGCGGUGAAAUGCAUAGAUAUCACGCAGAACCCCGAUUGCGAAGGCAGCAUACCGGUGCACAACUGACGCUCAGGCACGAAAGCGUGGGUAUCGAACAGGAUUAGAUACCCGGGUAGUC
rnacentral:rRNA from 1 species